rnacentral:lncRNA from 1 species
UGUUUUUUUUUUUUUUCUUUGGGGACCCGUAAUUAACUUGAGUUUGAACUUCUCCGGGUUCAACUUUAGUCAAGUAAAUUAGGUAUUAUUAGUUACGUUAAUGUGUUACGUUAACUCUUUCAAAUAUUGUUGAUUUUUUUUUUUGAAUUUUUGAGUAAUAAGUAUGACUGUUUUGUAUUGUAUUGUUUUGCGAGGACUAAUGCUAUUGGAUGUUGGUAUUUAACAUGAUCAAGUCUCAAGUUACUUAGGUAUUAUUAUAAUGCCUUAUGUUUGUAAUUUAUCUUUUUUGAAAUUUAUACUGAUUUUAAAAUUUGAAGUAUGAGUAGUGACUAGUUUGCAUUUGUUUUUGUUUUGCAGGACUUAUGCUAGGCUAAAGGACUCGAUUGGAUGUCCCUUUCGUUAUUGCGAUGCUUAUGCUCAGUACUUUCAAAUACAUAUUUCCCGACCACCUGUAAUAUUGAGUUACGUACAUUUGCUUUAAAUGUUGUAUUGUAUCUUGGGACCGUAUUAACUUGAGUUUGAGUUUCCCGGGUUCAACUUUAAGCUCAAGUAAUACGUUGUAGUUAACGCCUUUAUUUUGUACUUUAUCUCUUUGAAAGAAUGUUUGAUUGAAUUUUUUGAGUACUAAGUAGUGACUGUUUUGUAUUUUGUCUUGUUUUGGCGAGACUAAUACUUUUGACUUGGUGUUUAACAGAUCAAGCUCAAGUACUUAGGUACUAUUAGUUAUGCCUUAUGUUGUAAUUUGUCUUUUUGAAAUUAUACUGAUUUAAAUUUUAAGUAAUGAGUAGUGACUAUUUUGCAUUUGUUUUGUUUUUCGAGGACUUAUACUAUUGACUAAAGGACUCGAUUGGAUGUACCUCGUUAAUUGCGAUGCCUAUGCCUAGGUACUUUCAAAUACAUAUUUCCACACUUUUACUAUUGAGGUACUAACAUUUGUUUUAAAUGUGUAUAUGUUCUUGGACGUAACAAAAUUAACUUGAGUUUGAUGUUCCCCGGGUUUCAACUUAAGCUCAAGUAAAUCGGUUUAUUGUUUAACGCUUUAUGUGUUACUUUAUCUCUUUCAAAUAUUGUUGAAUUUUGAAUUUUUGAGUAAUAGUAGCGACUGUUUGUAUUUGUAUUGUUUUGUGAGGACUUCUGGUAUUGACCAAAGGACUCGAUUGGAUGUACCUCGUUAAUUGCGAUGCCUAUGCCUUGGUACGUAAGAUUUGCUUUAAAUGUUGUAUAUGUAUCUUGGACCGUAAUUAACUUGAGUUUGAUGUUUCCCGGGUUCAACUUUAAGCUCAAGUAAAUUAGGUAUUAUUAGUUAAUGCUUUAUGUGUUACUUUAUCUCUUUCAAAUAUUGUUGAUUUGAUUUUUGAGAUAAGUAGUGACUGUUUUUGUUUUGUAUUGUUUUGGCGAGUACUAUGCUAUGACUUUGGUGUUACAUGAUCAAGCUCAAGUUAUUAGGUAUUAUUGUUAAUGCCAUUAUGUUGUAAUUUGUUCUUUUGUUAACUGAUUUAAUUUUAAGUAUGAGUAUUGACUAUUUUCUUUGUUUUGUUUUGGCGAGACUUAUGCUAUGACUAAAGACUCGAUUGAUUAACCUCGUUCAAUUUGCGAUGCCUCUGCCUAGUACUUUUCAAAUACAUAUUUCCACCUUUUAAAUAUUGGGUACGUAACAUUUACUUUAAAUGUUGUAUAUGUUUCUUGGACCGUAAUUAACUUGAGUUUGAACUUCUCCGGGUUCAACUUUAAGCUCAAGUAAAUUAGGUAUUAUUAGUUAACGCUUUAUGUGUUACUUUAUCUCUUUCAAAUAUUGUUGAUUUGAAUUUUUGAGUAAUAAGUAGUGACUGUUUUGUAUUUGUAUUGUUUUGCGAGGACUAAUGCUAUUGAUUUUGGUAUUUAACAUGAUCAAGCUCAAGUUACUUAGGUAUUAUUAGUUAAUGCCUUAUGUUGUAAUUUAUCUUUUUGAAAUUAUACUGAUUUAAAUUUGAAGUAAUGAGUAGUGACUAGUUUGCAUUUGUUUUUUUUUGCGAGGACUUAUGCUAUUGACUAAAGGACUCGAUUGGAUGUACCUCGUUAAUUGCGAUGCUUAUGCUCAGGUACUUUCAAUACAUAUUUCGACACCUUUAAAUAUUGAGGUACUAACAUUUGCUUUAAAUGUUGUAUGUGUAUCUUGGACCGUAAUUAACUGUGAGUUUUGAAUUUCCCGGUCACUUUAAGCUCAAGUAAAUUACGUAGUUUUUUACGCCUUAUGUUGUACUUUAUCUCUUUGAAAGAAUGUUGAUUGAAUUUUUGAGUAAUAAGUAGUGACCUGUUUUGGUUAUUUGUAUUGUUUUGCGAGGACUAAUACUUUUGACUUUGGUGUUUAACAUAUCAAAGCUCAGUUACUUAGUUAUAUUAGUUUAUCCUUAUGUUGUAAUUUGUCUUUUGAAAUUUCUGAUUUUAAUUUUAGUAAUUGAGUAGUGACUAUUUUGCAUUUGUUUUGUUUUGCGAGGAUUAUGCCUAUUGACUAAAGGACUCG